rnacentral:rRNA from 1 species
CCUACGGGUGGCAGCAGUCGAGAAUCAUUCACAAUGGGGGAAACCCUGAUGGUGCGACGCCGCGUGGGGGAAUGAAGCUCUUCGGAUUGUAAACCCCUGUCAUGUGGGAGCAAAUUAAACAGAUCGUACCACCUGAGGCAGAGACGACUAACUCUGUGCCAGCAGCCGCGGUAAUACAGAGGUCUCAAGCGUUGUUCGGAAUCACUGGGCGUAACGCGCGCGUAGGCUGUUUUGUAAGUCGUGGGUGAAAGGCGCGGGCUCAACCCGCGGACGGCACAUGAUACUGCGAGACUAGAGUAAUGGAGGGGGAACCGGAAUUCUUGGUGUAGCGGUGAAAUGCGUAGAUAUCGAGAGGAACACUAGUGGCGAAGGCGGGUUACUGGACAAUAACUGACGCUGAGGCACGAAGGCCAGGGGAGCGAAAGGGAUUAGAUACCCCAGUAGUC